rnacentral:rRNA from 1 species
GCAUUAGCUAGUUGGUGGGGUAACGGCCUACCAAGGCGACGAUGCGUAGCCGACCUGAGAGGGUGAUCGGCCACAUUGGGACUGAGACACGGCCCAGACUCCUACGGGAGGCAGCAGUGGGGAAUAUUGCACAAUGGGGGAAACCCUGAUGCAGCAACGCCGCGUGAGUGAUGAAGGUUUUCGGAUCGUAAAGCUCUGUCUUUGGGGAAGAUAAUGACGGUACCCAAGGAGGAAGCCACGGCUAACUACGUGCCAGCAG